UAUGUUGCCAGGCAAGGAAAAGUGAUAUAAAUAAAGAGAGUAGGAGACCCAAAUCAAGUACAAUGUGAAAAGAAUUUAACUUUCAAUCUAUUCGUUGGCUAAUUACCAUUUGAAAAGUAAUUUGAAAGUGUUACUGUUAUUUGCUUAUAUUCUUCCUCAUUAUUAUUUUUUUUUUUCCUCUUCAGAUUGCAUUCUUACCCAAAUUCUCUUCGUGAUUGCCUGUUUUGCGGCUUUGGGAUUGUUCAAGGGAGUAGAGAACAUUCACAUGGAUGACAUCUCAGUUUUCCCAUCAUGUAAGUAUAUUUUUGGUCAUGUUUUCUCUAAUCAUAUUUAGUAAAAUAUCAAAUUCACGGAAUGUACACUUCAUUUUUAAAAAAUUCACAGGUUGAGUCCAACUUUUCAUUCACUGACAACUAACUUGAAAAUCUAAAAUUUGAUAAUUUGAGGUUUGUAUUUCCAAAUAUCAAAAAUUUCUUCCUUCUCAUAAGGCAUGUUCUUAAGUGGUCUAUUUCAAACAAAAGAAAAUGACAUUCCACUUUCAGCUAGCAAAUGUUAGAUUCUCUCAAAGCUGAUGGGGGACUCGCUUGGAAGUUUUGCCAUUAGAGUCACACAAAUUGAAUUAUAUUCAUCUUUCCCAAAUAUUGUUCUUCAAACUCUAUAAAUAUAGCAAUACUAGG